rnacentral:sRNA from 1 species
CUACAGGGGGGGGGGGAGCCACAAGCUGCACUGUGAACCCGGGCACUCCGCGCUGAUGCCACCGGCCCGUGGGUCUCUG